rnacentral:rRNA from 1 species
GACGAACGCUGGCGGCGUGCUUAACACAUGCCAGUCGAACGGAAAGGCCCCCUUGUGGGGUACUCGAGUGGCGAACGGGUGGGUAACACGUGAGUAACCUCCCCUUCACUUUGGGAUAACUUCAGGAAACUGGGGCUAAUACCGGAAAGGAGCUCCUGCUGCAUGGUGGGGGUUGGAAAGUUUCGGCGGUUGGGGAUGGACUCGCGGCUUAUCAGCUUGUUGGUGGGGUAGUGGGUCACCAAGGCUUUGACGGGUAGCCGGCCUGGGAGGGUGACCGGCGACAUUGGGACUGAGAUAGGGCGCAGACGCCUACGGGAGGCAGCAGUGGGGAGUAUUGCACAAUGGGCGGAAGCCUGAUGCAGCAACGCCGCGUGCGGGAUGACGGCCUUCGGGUUGUAAACCGCUUUCGCCUGUGACGCAGCGUGAGUGACGGUAAUGGGUAAAGAAGCACCGGCUAACUACGUG